GUUGAGGGUGCAUGCUGCACAAAAUUAAAGUUAAAAAGUAAAACCCCCGUUCCUUACCAGUUCGGGGGUUUUACUUUUU
rnacentral:sRNA from 1 species